rnacentral:lncRNA from 1 species
CUUCGUUGGUGUUGCAGUGCAAGUAAUUCCUUGGUUGUGAUUGGCACGUCUCUCUUCGGCAUUGUUUUCGGAAAGCUAACCAGGUAGCGGUUUGACAAGAAAAUAAGGCUGUAGGUGUUGAAGGGAUACUCUACCUUCUCUCGCAUCCUUUUGGUGAAGUCAUGCCUUUCUUUCUGUGGGAUUGUCAGGGUUUGUCUACCCUAGAGUUGUGUAAUAGUUGGCUCGAUUUUCUUUUGG